rnacentral:rRNA from 1 species
UACGGAGGGUGCAAGCGUUAUCCGGAUUCACUGGGUUUAAAGGGUGCGUAGGUGGGCUGGUAAGUCAGUGGUGAAAUCUCCGAGCUUAACUCGGAAACUGCCAUUGAUACUAUCAGUCUUGAAUACCGUGGAGGUCAGUAGAAUAUGUCAUGUAGCGGUGAAAUGCUUAGAUAUGACAUAGAAUACCAAUUGCGAAGGCAGCUGGCUACACGAAUAUUGACACUCAGGCACGAAAGCGUGGGGAUCAAACAGG